AUUGAACGCUGGCGGCAGGCCUAACACAUGCAAGUCGAACGGCAGCACGGAAGAGCUUGCUCUUUGGGUGGCGAGUGGCGGACGGGUGAGUAAUGUCUGGGAAACUGCCCGAUGGAGGGGGAUAACUACUGGAAACGGUAGCUAAUACCGCAUAACGUCGCAAGACCAAAGUGGGGGACCUUCGGGCCUCACACCAUCGGAUGUGCCCAGAUGGGAUUAGCUAGUAGGUGGGGUAAUGGCUCACCUAGGCGACGAUCCCUAGCUGGUCUGAGAGGAUGACCAGCCACACUGGAACUGAGACACGGUCCAGACUCCUACGGGAGGCAGCAGUGGGGAAUAUUGCACAAUGGGCGCAAACCUGAUGCAGCCAUGCCGCGUGUAUGAAGAAGGCCUUCGGGUUGUAAAGUACUUUCAGCGGGGAGGAAGGCGGUGAGGUUAAUAACCUUGCCGAUUGACGUUACCCGCAGAAGAAACACCGGCUAACUCCGUGCCAGCAGCCGCCGUAA
rnacentral:rRNA from 1 species